ensembl:lncRNA KTN1-AS1 KTN1 antisense RNA 1
CCCUUAAAGGGACAGCCGCCGGCCCGCCUCUGCCUCCGCGCGCCUGCCCACGCGCUCCGGUACUCGCUGCUCGCGGCUGGCCGGCUCGGGAUUCCGGGCUUUCUUCCCGAGACCGCGUCCCCCAGCUGGGCCGAAGGUGGACGCUCAGGGGCUGGAGGCUCAGCGGAAUCCCCUGCGUUCAGUAGCCCCGCUCUCCCCUGUCCCGAAGGAUUACUCUGCCCCUCAGCGGUUCCAGUGCCCUCAAAGCAAUCUGUCUCUGAAGUACUGGCUAUCUUCUGAGCGUGUGCCAGAAGAUCCAGCUUUGUUGAAAAGCGAAGCCGUUAGUCCCUUAAUACAAAGGAUCAGGGAUAGCAGAAAUGAAAGUAUAAUGGAAGCAGCUGGAGGAUUCCAGGUCCACUUUCACCCAAGUAAUGGAGACGGAAGGUUCAUCGAAACUUCUUCAGCUGCAGAUCUAGAAGUCAUUAGCUAUUCUAGCAAAGUAUCUGUCACAGAAAGGUGCUUCAUAAAGGUCUGCACUGUGCUCUUUUGACCUGUGUCUUCAAGCAUGUGCUGUCAUAACAGAUUAAAGAUGACUGAAAAUUAUCUGCCACUCAUUGCGUGAAAGGUGGGAUCUGUAGACCUCCCUCUUGAAUUUGGGAGGGUUCUGUGACUGCUGUGACCAAUGAAUAUGGCAGAAGUGACGCUUUGCCAACUUCUGGGUCCAGGCUAUACGAGACAGGCAGUUCCACUCACUGUCUCUUAGAUCCAUGUAAAAAGUUCAUCUACCCUGCUGGAAAAACCAUGUAGAGAGGCCCUGAGACUACAUUGGGUGGGAGAGGGGCUCAGCUGCACCAUCUUCCAACUGUCCCCAUCAAGAUGACAGAAAUAUAAAUGAAGCCUUCUUGAACUCCAGACCAUCCAUGCUACAAGCUAAAUGCCACCAAGCGACCCCAGUUAAUACCAUGUGGAGCAAAAAUAUCACUUAACCAAGCACUGCCUGAGUUUCUGACCCCACAGAAUUCUGACCCCAUACAAAUAAAAUAAUUUUUGUAAUUUUUUAUAAUUCGUCAUGUAAUAGAUAAAUGGAACAGCCUUCUUCCAGUCUUUUAAAUAGCUGCAAGAAAUCUUAUUCAAGCAGAAGGAAGUUUCUACUUUGUUCAUACAGUCUCAAGACAUCCCUGGAGCCUUUCAAGGGAAAUUUGGGCAGAAGUAGGUAGAGAGGUAAAGCUAUUAUGUAACAUUACUUAACAUGAUUAAAACCACCUUAAUGUCUCCCAUCCUCAAAGGCUGCCAGUGAAUUGGAAAUUAAUGGAUUAAAUGAGGACAGAGAAACUAGUAUUUGUGCAUAUGCACUGUGCCAGGUAUUUAACGUAUCUUAGCUCAUGUGGUCUUCGAAACAACCCCAUAUUGUAGUAUCAGGCUCACACGGGUAACUAACUAGUGCAAAGACACAAGGCUCACAAACUGCUACUUGACCCUAGAGCUCUUUGACUCCGAUUCCCAUGUACGUGCCCCAAUACCAUGUUGACUCCCAAGGUGUAAAUCUUCAGGUAUA